UACGGAGGGUGCGGAGCUUGUCCGGAUUUAUUGGGUUUAAAGGGUGCGUAGGUGGCUUGUUAAGUCAGUGGUGAAAUACAGCCGCUCAAACGGUUGAGGUGCCAUUUGAUACUGACAAGCUUGAAACAAAGUGGGAGGGUUGCCGGAAUGGAAUGGGUGUAGCGGGUGAAAAUGCAUAGAUAUCAAUCCCAGAAACACCCGAAUUGCGAAAGGGCCAGGGUGACUACGUUUUGAUUUU
rnacentral:rRNA from 1 species